AGUCGAACGGGAAUCUUCGGAUUCUAGUGGCGGACGGGUGAGUAACGCGUAAGAAUCUAACUUCAGGACGGGGACGACAGUUGGAAACGACUGCUAAUACCCGAUGUGCCGCAAGGUGAAAACUAAUUGGCCUGAAGAAGAGCUUGCGUCUGAUUAGCUAGUUGGUGGGGUAAGAGCCUACCAAGGCGACGAUCAGUAGCUGGUCUGAGAGGAUGAGCAGCCACACUGGGACUGAGACACGGCCCAGACUCCUACGGGAGGCAGCAGUGGGGAAUUUUCCGCAAUGGGCGAAAGCCUGACGGAGCAACGCCGCGUGAGGGAGGAAGGUCUUUGGAUUGUAAACCUCUUUUCUCAAGGAAGAAGUUCUGACGGUACUUGAGGAAUCAGCCUCGGCUAACUCCGUGCCAGCAGCCGCGGUAAUACGGGGGAGGCAAGCGUUAUCCGGAAUUAUUGGGCGUAAAGCGUCCGCAGGUGGUCAGCCAAGUCUGCCGUCAAAUCAGGUUGCUUAACGACCUAAAGGCGGUGGAAACUGGCAGACUAGAGAGCAGUAGGGGUAGCAGGAAUUCCCAGUGUAGCGGUGAAAUGCGUAGAGAUUGGGAAGAACAUCGGUGGCGAAAGCGUGCUACUGGGCUGUAUCUGACACUCAGGGACGAAAGCUAGGGGAGCGAAAGGGAUUAGAUACCCCUGUAGUCCUAGCCGUAUACGAUGGAUACUAGGCGUGGCUUGUAUCGACCCGAGCCGUGCCGAAGCUAACGCGUUAAGUAUCCCGCCUGGGGAGUACGCACGCAAGUGUGAAACUCAAAGGAAUUGACGGGGGCCCGCACAAGCGGUGNAGUAUGUGGUUUAAUUCGAUGCAACGCGAAGAACCUUACCAAGACUUGGCAUGUCGCGAACCCUGGUGAAAGCUGGGGGUGCCUUCGGGAGCGCGAACACAGGNGGUGCAUGGNUGUCGUCAGCUC
rnacentral:rRNA from 1 species